rnacentral:rRNA from 1 species
CGCAGCCGCGGUAAUUCCAGCUCCAAUAGCGUAUAUUAAAGUUGUUGCAGUUAAAAAGCUCGUAGUUGAAUUUCGGGAUCAAUUUAUUGGUCGUGCUAUUGUACGUACUGGUUUUAUUGGUUCCUCCCUUCUGACGAACCUUGAUGCCAUUAAUUUGGUGUCUUGGGAAAUCAGGACUGUUACUUUGAAAAAUUAGAGUGUUUAAAGCAAGCUCACGCUUGAAUACAUUAGCAUGGAAUAACGGAAUAGGACGUUUGAUUCUAUUUUGUUGGUUUCUAGGAUCGACGUAAUGAUUAAUAGGGAUAGUUGGGGGCAUUAGUAUUCAAUUGUCAGAGGUGAAAUUCUUGGAUUUAUUGAAGACUAACUACUGCGAAAGCAUUUGCCAAGGAUGUUUUCAUUAAUCAAGAACGAAAGUUAGGGGAUCGAAGACGAUCAGAUACCGUCGUAGUC